UCAGGAUUAGUUCAGUCUCAGUGGGCUGUGUGGCUGAGACUGAGGUAAUCCUGAGC
rnacentral:pre_miRNA from 1 species